UGCAGCGCAAAAUGCAUUAAGCACUCCGCCUGGGGAGUACGGUCGCAAGACUGAAACUCAAAGGAAUUGACGGGGGCCCGCACAAGCGGUGG
rnacentral:rRNA from 1 species